rnacentral:rRNA from 1 species
UACGGGGGGGAGCAAGCGUUGUUCGGAUUUACUGGGCGUAAAGGGCGCGUAGGCGGUCGUGACAAGUCACUUGUGAAAUCUCCGGGCUUAACUCGGAACGGUCAAGUGAUACUGUCGGACUAGAGUACAGAAGGGGCAACUGGAAUUCUCGGGUGUGAGCGGUGAAAUGCGUAGAUAUCGAGAGGAACACCUGCGGCGAAGGCGGGUUGCUGGGCUGACACUGACGCUGAGGCGCGAAAGCCAGGGGAGCAAACGGG